AAGUCGUAACAAGGUUUCCGUAGGUGAACCUGCGGAAGGAUCAUUAACAAAUACUGAACUACCUGUGAACAGCACUGCGGUGGCAACACUGCGGUGAAUAUAGCUAAUGCGGUUGUCAUUAAAAGUGAAUUAUACAACUUUUAACGGUGGAUCUCUUGGCUCCU
rnacentral:misc_RNA from 1 species